CCUGCCAGUAGUCAUAUGCUUCGUUCAAGGGCUAAGCCAUGCAUGUCUCAGAGUACAUGGAUUUCCACAGUGGGUCUGUGAAUGGCUCCUUACAUCAGCAGUCAUCUCCAUGAUAGAGUGUGGAUGGUACUACUGCCAAGUACCCUUCUGGAAUAUCCACCAAAACCUAGUGGCUAAUACAUGGAUGGAACAGUCUGCUACGCCCUGGUUGUAUUGAUGGUUUACCAUUGGUACUUCCAGUAGUGGAUUGCACUCAGCUGCUUCUGAAGACCAGCGUCUGUAUCAAGACAGUGUAUCGAUGGAUGACUCAGGCUGAUCCUUUUGGACACCUGUGCUAGCAGAGUGGAAUCUUCACUGGUUCAGCAUUGCUUGAUCACACGAACUUCUGACCUAUCAGCUUGGAUUGUAGUGCAGUGGACUACAAUGGCAGUUACGGGUAACGGAGAAUCAGGGUUCGAUUCCGGAGAGGGAGCCUGAGAGACGGCUACCACUACCAAGGUGGGCAGCAGGCACGCAAAUUACCCAAUGUCAAUACAUUCGAUGAGGUAGCGACGAACUGCAGCAAUCUUGCUUGACCUCAGUGUUGAGUGAGACUUGUAAUGGAUGCAAUCCAAACACAGUGAUGAGUAUCAACUGGAGGGCAAGUCUGGUGCCAGCAGCUGCGGUAAUUCCAGCUCCAAGAGUGUAUACUAACAUUGCUGCGGUUAAAACACUUGUAGUCUGAUGCUGGGUACUGGUCUGUUGGAUGGCUGGUGGAUCACGAGUGUAUGGCUGUGAGUUGAUGUCUUCGGGCAUUGCUUGUGGUCUGUGCUUGUGUCUCUACUGGAACUCAACCUCUGACAGUAUGUUCCAUUACCCGCUGUCAAUGGUGGUAGACUUGCUCUGGCUCCAAGUCUCCUUCAGUGGAGAUCGAUGCGGUAUCAUUGCCUGACACACGUGUGCUUGACUUCUGGGACCUGGUCUCUGUACCAUGUAUACUUCCCUGGUUCACCACUGGAGCCUACCAUCGCUGUUACUGUGGAAAACUCAGUGUGCUUCAAGCAUCCUUACUGGAAUUGAAUGUCCGUCCAUGGAAUGACAAAGCAUCGACCUGAUGUGACUGUGGAGUUGUGCUGGUCUUGGUGUUCAUUGCAAGGAGAACCUGAGUCGUGAACAGUAGUUACACAGAGGUAACACACAGACUGGGUACAAAGCCCAGACUGGUUACUCUCUGCUUGUCUCUACUGUCUUCAUGGCUCGAUCGUACCUGAUGGGAUUGCUCAGGGUGAAGGAUACUACAGCGCUAGAGGUGAAAUUCUUAGACCGCUGUAUGAUCAACUGCAGCGAAGGCGCUUUGCAAGUGCUUGUUCGUCGAUCAAGAAUGAGAGUGUGGGGAGCGAAGAUGAUCAGACACCGUCGUAGUCCACAACUGUAAACCAUGCCAGCUUGGUGUUGAUGAUGCAAGUUCAACGUACUUCAUCAGCACUCUUCCCCAUGUCACGAGAAAUCCAAGCCUAUGGGUUCCGGGGGGAGUACUGUCGCAAGGCUGAAACUUAAAGGAAUUGACGGAAUGGCACCACAAGGCGUGGAGUAUGCGGCUUAAUUUGACUCAACACGGGAAAUGUUACCAGGUCAGGACGUUGCUGGGAUUGACAGAUUGAUAGCUCUUUCUUGAUCCUUCGGAUGGUGGUGCAUGGCCGCUCCUGAUUGGUGGAGUGAUUUGUCUGGUUGAUUCCGAUAACGAGUGAGAUAUCUACCUUCCACUAGCUACAGUCUCGCAAUCUGUAGAGCUGGAUGCUUGUUUGCUUCUACGGAGUAUCUACUUCAGUAACAAGUGCUUGUCUUCCACUCGAGAGUACUGGUCAAGCUUCUCUGAGGUUCUGUGUACGCUACCAAGUACAAGCAUGCUAGAGCCAACAGCAGGUCUGUGAUGCUCCCAGAUGUCCUGGGCCGCACGCGCACUACAUUGUUCCAGUGACUAUGCUGUUAUUCCCUUGUGGAAUCCUGCUUGGAAGUGAGUGGGGAACCCUUGAAGCCUGUGAACGUACUGGGGAUAGAUGCUUGCAACUGUCUGCCUUGAACGAGGAAUGCCUAGUAAGCCCAAGUCAUCAGCUUGGAUUGAUUGUGUCCCUGCCAUUUGUACACACCGCCCGUCGUUGCUACCGAUGACAGUAGGAUAGAGCCAUCAGGAGAUCCAAUCACACCUGUGGUUGAGUCGAACUCUUGCAAUGUCCUACUGUUAGAGGAAGCAAAAGUCGUAACAAGGUUGUGUAGGUGA
rnacentral:rRNA from 1 species